UGGUGGCGUGGCUAGGGGAAACUUCUUCUGGCUAUGGGGGCGGCACUCCUGGCAUAGGCAAUAGAUAUGUGGCAGGCAAUCUGUGGCUUGAUAAACUGGGAGUGUCAGCAAAAUAUGGUUUAAAAAGGGUCAUGCGCCAGUCAUUCUUCGGAGGGCAUCACUCACUUCUUGAUGACAACAGCGACCCUACUCCUGACUAUUGGUUGACGCUUCUUUACAAGAGACUUGUUGGCAACAAAGUAUUUGAUGUUCCAUCCUCAUC